GAUAUAAUUUGUUUGUAUUUCUUUGAGGUUGAACGUUUCUCCAUUUGUUCAUUUAUAUGGUAUUUCUUGGGUGAGUUUUGUUUCCUGUUCAAUUCACCAGAUCCUAAGCAUCCACCAAGAGCCAGGCCAUCUGCAGACACUGCUUAAAGCAGCCCAGGCAUCUCUGCCCACUCAGAGGAGGGGGAGUGGUCGAUUCAGCAAGUGGGAGAAGGACACAGCUGGGAACGGAGGCUGCUCGGCAGCACGUGGAUUUUCUCACGAUGAUGUGAGGUGUGGAGAGAGGUUCUGUUGUCAGUGACUCAGGUGUCCCAAGCAGCUCUGAUGAAGACCUCGACGUGGGCAGAGCAUGCAGAACAUCUCUGGGUUCUUCCACUUUCUUUCUUUGUUUUGCUCUUUCUUUACAAAGAGAGAACAAAACUUUUCUCGUCAAGACGGAUCAGUUUCCCUGGAAUCUUCCAGUCUAACUUUUGAUGCCUUUCUCUCCUCACAUAAAAGAAAGCCCAUCUCUG